UACCCGCUGAGUUUAAGCAUAUCAAU
rnacentral:rRNA from 2 species